UACGUAGGGUGCAAGCGUUGUCCGGAAUUAUUGGGCGUAAAGAGCUCGUAGGCGGUCUGUCGCGUCGGCUGUGAAAACUCGGGGCUCAACCCCGAGCCUGCAGUCGAUACGGGCAGACUAGAGUGCUGUAGGGGAGACUGGAAUUCCUGGUGUAGCGGUGGAAUGCGCAGAUAUCAGGAGGAACACCGAUGGCGAAGGCAGAUCUCUGGGCCGUAACUGACGCUGAGGAGCGAAAGCAUGGGGAGCGAACAGG
rnacentral:rRNA from 1 species